AAUCUGGUUGAUCCUGCCAGUGGUCGUAUGCUUCGUUCAAGGGCUAAGCCAUGCAUGUCUCAGCGCAAACGGGUUCCCAAACAGUGGGUCUGUGAAUGGCUCCUUACAUCAGCAGUCGUCCCCGCGGUGAAGUGUGAUUGGCACCGACAAAGAGAGGCAACAGCAGCGAAGGGCACGCGGUGCCCGAUGGACAUCCCCAAAAACCUAGUGGCUAAUACACGGUCGAUCGGGUCUGCCGCACGUGGCGCGGGCGGCCCCCCCGCGAACACCGGCGGACGCCCCACGCCCCCCCAACCCACCGUCCGCGGUGCGGUCCGGGGGGGCGCUCGGGGCCUCGCCGGGGGGGGGCCACGCGUUUUCCCACGCGAAGGCGUCAGCGAUCGCGCUGCCCCCCUCCGCGUGGUGGUGGAUUGCACCCAGCCGUCGGGACUGAAGACCAGCGCCCUGGGAAGGGCAGUGUGCUCGGCUGAAUCAGGCUGGUCCCCCCCCACUUCCCCGCGGGACGGUGUGGCACUGGCAGAGACAACGAGCACGCAGCCCCCCCGCCCCGCCCCGCACCCCACCGGGGGCGGGGGGGGGCGGGGGACACGGGAGUCCAUCAUCCGACAACCCAAGACGCGCGCGGCCGCCGCGUGUCGCGUGGGUGAAUGCGGUGCGGGCGGUGAGGGGCCCCCCCUCCCCGCCCCCCUCCGGGUUCCCCCGCCCACACCGCGCGCCGCCGCGGACCUUGCUUGAUCGCUCGAACUUCUGACCUAUCAGCUUCUGACGGUGGUGCCGCGGACCACGGUGGCCCCAACGGGUGACGGAGAAUCAGGGUUCGAUUCCGGAGAGGGAGCCUGAGAGACGGCUACCACUACCAAGGUGGGCAGCAGGCGCGCAAAUUGCCCAAUACAGACGCACAACCCCCUGUGAGGCAGCGACGAGCCGCAACAGUCCCCCCGCCCUCUCCCGGGCGGAGGGAUCCGUAAUGGAUGCCAUCCAAACCCAGCGAAUGAGUAUCAACUGGAGGGCAAGUCUGGUGCCAGCAGCUGCGGUAAUUCCAGCUCCAAGGGCGUACACUAACAUUGCUGCUGUUAAAACACUUGUAGUCCGCCUCAGGGAUCCAGGUCUGCCGGACGGCCGCCGCGUCGCGCCCCCGCCCCCCCCGCGGCGGGUUACAACCUCCGCGCAGUAUGCUCCUGGUCCCGCCCGUUCAUCCGUACGAUGGUGCAAUCGGCCCCCGCGCGAGGCCCCCUUCAGUGGGCGGCCGAGGCGGUCUCAACNNNNNNNNNNNNNNNNNNNNNNNNNNNNGGGGGGGGGGGCUCGCGGCGCGGGGCGGUGUGCGCGGGGGGGGGCGUGGUGCGGUCCGCCGCACCGCGCAUCCCCCGGCCCCGGCCCGCACCCGGACCCUCCCCACCGGGGGACGCGGCCCCCGUUGCGCCGUCGGUCUGCUCCCCCCGUCCACCACCGGGGCUCACCGUCCCCGUCACCAUGGAAAACUCAGUGUGCCCCAGGCGUUUCGACAUUGGCUCCCCCCUUCUCCCCCCCCGCCCCCGCGGCGGCGGGGGGACCGUCCGACCGUACGCCCGUCCAUGGAAUGUCACAGCAUCGACUCAAGGUGGCCACCGCACCGGGACCCCCGCGGUUCCGGAACCGUUUGUUUGUGCUGGCCUUGGAGCCCCUGCCCCGAGGGAACCUGGCGCCCGCGGCCCCCCCCAGCCCGGCGGACCCCGCACGCCCCCCGCGGCCCCCCGGGGCCAAACGGGGCGUUCCGCGGUCCCCGAGGGGGGGUGGGGCCCGCGCCGCUCGCCAGCGAGGGGACCGCUCGGGGCGCAAGGUAUGGCGACGCCAGAGGUGAAAUUCUCAGACCGCCGCCCGACCCGCGGCGGCGCAGGCGUUCUGCAAGUGCGUGUCCGUCGAUCAAGAAUGAGAGUGUGGGGAGCGAAGACGAUCAGACACCGUCGUAGUCCACCACCGUAAACCAUGCCGGCCCGGCCGCGGGGCGGCAAGUCCAACGGACCGCCCCGGAGGCCACGUUCCCCUUGCCACGAGAAAUCCACAGCCUGUGGGUUCAGGGGGGAGUACCGCCGCAAGGCUGAAACUUAAAGGAAUUGACGGAAUGGCACCACAAGGCGUGGAGUAUGCGGCUUAAUUUGACUCAACACGGGGAACGUUACCGGGUCAGGACGGUGCCGGGAUGGACAGGCUGCGAGCCCUUUCUUGAUCCUUCGGACGGUGGUGCAUGGCCGCUCCUGAUUGGUGGAGUGAUUUGUCUGGUUGAUUCCGAUAACGAGUGAGACCUCCGCCUCCCACUAGCCCCCGCCUCGCACACGUAGGGACCGGACGCCCCCCCGCCACCCACCGGGUCCCGACCCGGCCGGGGGCGGGCGGUCGCCCCCCCGAGAGGCCCGGGGUGGGGGCGGGGCCCUGGUUCCCCCCGCGGGGGGGGGAGGGGGGCCCGGCCCGCCCCCUUCCGCUUUCUCUGAGGUGCUGUGACCGCCGCCAAGGGCACGCAUGCUAGAGCCAACAGCAGGUCUGUGAUGCUCCCAGAUGUCCUGGGCCGCACGCGCACUACAUUGGCACGGGGAAGGGGUGAAACCGCCCGCGGGCCCCGCGCGGGGACCGGUCACCCCCCGAGCGUCGCCGCGCCCACCCCCCUUCUCCCCCUCUCC
rnacentral:rRNA from 1 species